UACGGAGGGGGCAAGCGUUAUUCGGAAUCAUUGGGCGUAAAGGGCGCGUAGGCGGCUUGGCAAGUCAAAGGUGAAAUCCCUCGGCCUAACCGAGGAACUGCCUUUGAUACUGCUUGGCCUGAGGCUGGGAGAGGGUAGCGGAAUUCCCGGUGGAGCGGUGAAAUGCGUAGAGAUCGGGAGGAAUACCAGUGGCGAAGGCGGCCUGCUGGGCCACGACCGACACUGAGGUGCGAAAGCGUGGGGAGCGAACAGG
rnacentral:rRNA from 1 species